rnacentral:miRNA from 1 species
GACCCGUAAGGUCUAAACCUGU